rnacentral:rRNA from 1 species
UACGUAGGGUGCGAGCGUUGCCCGGAUUUAUUGGGCGUAAAGGGCGCGUAGGCGGCCACGCACGUCCGUUGUGAAAUCGCCCGGCUCAACUGGGCGGGGUCAGCGGAUACGGUGUGGCUCGAGCAAGCUAGGGGGCAAUGGAAUUCCCGGUGUAGUGGUGGAAUGCGUAGAUAUCGGGAGGAACACCAGUGGCGAAGGCGGUUGCCUGGAGCUUUGCUGACGCUGAGGCGCGAAGGCGUGGGGAGCGAUCCGG